rnacentral:rRNA from 1 species
CUGGCGGCGUGCUUAACACAUGCAAGUCGAACGAUGAUCCCAGCUUGCUGGGGGAUUAGUGGCGAACGGGUGAGUAACACGUGAGUAACCUGCCCUUGACUCUGGGAUAAGCCUGGGAAACUGGGUCUAAUACCGGAUAUGACCGUCUGACGCAUGUCAGGUGGUGGAAAGCUUUUGUGGUUUUGGAUGGACUCGCGGCCUAUCAGCUUGUUGGUGGGGUAAUGGCCUACCAAGGCGACGACGGGUAGCCGGCCUGAGAGGGUGACCGGCCACACUGGGACUGAGACACGGCCCAGACUCCUACGGGAGGCAGCAGUGGGGAAUAUUGCACAAUGGGCGCAAGCCUGAUGCAGCGACGCCGCGUGAGGGAUGACGGCCUUCGGGUUGUAAACCUCUUUCAGUAGGGAAGAAGCGAAAGUGACGGUACCUGCAGAAGAAGCGCCGGCUAACUACGUGCCAGCAGCCGCGGUAAUACGUAGGGCGCAAGCGUUAUCCGGAAUUAUUGGGCGUAAAGAGCUCGUAGGCGGUUUGUCGCGUCUGCUGUGAAAGACCGGGGCUCAACUCCGGUUCUGCAGUGGGUACGGGCAGACUAGAGUGAUGUAGGGGAGACUGGAAUUCCUGGUGUAGCGGUGAAAUGCGCAGAUAUCAGGAGGAACACCGAUGGCGAAGGCAGGUCUCUGGGCAUUAACUGACGCUGAGGAGCGAAAGCAUGGGGAGCGAACAGGAUUAGAUACCCUGGUAGUCCAUGCCGUAAACGUUGGGCACUAGGUGUGGGGGACAUUCCACGUUUUCCGCGCCGUAGCUAACGCAUUAAGUGCCCCGCCUGGGGAGUACGGCCGCAAGGCUAAAACUCAAAGGAAUUGACGGGGGCCCGCACAAGCGGCGGAGCAUGCGGAUUAAUUCGAUGCAACGCGAAGAACCUUACCAAGG